GUUGGAGACCACGUAAUACUGCUGAAGAGACAUAAGGAGAAGUUUCUGUUCUAUUAAGAUCAUGCACACUCAAGGCUGGGGAAAUUUCUCUGUGUCAGCCUGGUGAGGGACACCCCCACAGUCUGAAGGAGCCAACCUCCAGGAGGAAAAAUGGUACUUCCCAGGUAUCUUGGACUCUGCUAGGACCUUGAAUCGACCUGCUUCAGCUUUCCUGAAAGGGAUAAAAGACAACUUAAGUUCUCCUUUCAAGCACCUCCACCAGCAGGGACUCCACACCUUCUUGGGCAGUCUUUCUCAGAGCUACUCCAGCUCUACUGCUCCUCA